rnacentral:siRNA from 1 species
AGGAGCGGAUCUAGGUGUAUGGA